GUCUGCAGCCAUACCACCCUGAAUGCGCCUGAUCUCGUAAGCUAAGCAGGGUUGGGCCUGGUUAGCACUUGGAUGGGAGAAAAUGUCUUUUUUAUAAAAUUCAAGUUGCAUAUA
rnacentral:rRNA from 1 species